rnacentral:rRNA from 1 species
AGAAUCAACGCUGGCGGCGUGCCUAACACAUGCAAGUCGAACGAGAAAGUGGAGCAAUCCAUGAGUAAAGUGGCGCACGGGUGAGUAACACGUGACUAACCUACCCUUGAGUGGGGGAUAACCUAGAGAAAUCUGGGCUAAUACCGCAUAAUACCUUCGGGUCAAAGGAGCAAUUCGCUUAAGGAGGGGGUCGCGGCCGAUUAGUUAGUUGGCGGGGUAAUGGCCCACCAAGACUAUGAUCGGUAUCCGGCCUGAGAGGGCGCACGGACACACCUGGAACUGAAACACGGUCCAGACUCCUACGGGAGGCAGCAGUGGGAAUUUUGCGCAAUGGGGGAAACCCUGACGCAGCAACGCCGCGUGGAGGAUGAAGUCCCUUGGGACGUAAACUCCUUUCGAUCGGGACGAUAAUGACGGUACCGAGAGAAGAAGCCCGGCUAACUUCGCGCCAGCAGCCGC